rnacentral:rRNA from 1 species
UACAGAGGUCCCAAGCGUUGUUCGGAUUUACUGGGCGUAAAGGGUGCGUAGGUGGUCGGGUAAGUCUCAUGUGAAAUCUCCAAGCUUAACUUGGAAAUGGCAUGGGAUACUAUUCGGCUAGAGGAUUGGAGGGGGACUGGAAUUCCCGGUGUAGCAGUGAAAUGCGUAGAUAUCGAGAGGAACACCUGCGGCGAAGGCGGGUUGCUGGGCCAACACUGACGCUCAUGCACGAAAGCGUGGGGAGCAAACAGG